rnacentral:rRNA from 1 species
AGGGUUUGAUUAUGGCUCAGGACGAACGCUGGCGGCGUGCCUAACACAUGCAAGUCGAGCGGGAAGCUUUAGACGGCGGCUUCGGCCAAAGUGUGAAGUGGAGAGCGGCGGACGGGUGAGUAACGCGUGAGUAACCUGCCUACCAGAGGGGGAUAACACAUAGAAAUGUGUGCUAAUACCGCAUGAAAUCAUAGUUUCGCAUGGGAUUAUGAUCAAAGAUUUAUCGCUGGUAGAUGGACUCGCGUCUGAUUAGCUAGUUGGAGGGGUAACGGCCCACCAAGGCGACGAUCAGUAGCCGAACUGAGAGGUUGAUCGGCCACAUUGGGACUGAGACACGGCCCAG